AGGCCUUGAGCGGGAAUUGCGGAGCCAUGGCGGGGAAUCUGAAGGCGGGGGAGCUGCGCUCUGUGCUGCGGAGGUUGGACUCGGCCAACCGGGCUCUGGAGACAUGUAUUCAGUCACUUGGGGAAUGUCAGAAAACACUCCAAAAGUCAAUUCAGUGUCAGAACUACUUAAAUCACAGUAUCCAGCCUAUCAAAGCGGCAUUUGUGCCAAAUGAAAAUACUAGAACUGUUCCUGCAGCAAUUUAACUCUUCAUGUGUCACAGCAAUGUGUAGGAGUCAAAUUAUAAGUAUAUUCAUAUUUAUGUAUAAUUAACCUCAAACAUGCAAUGGAUGAAUUGAAACUGAACUUUUUCUCAAUUUCUGGAUGACUUUGUGUAGAGGGGAAUGUCAUUUUAAUUGUAGAAGAGUUGCAACUUGUAAUUGAAUUUCCUGAUGCUGUGCACUAGUAGUGUUCUCAAUUCUAGGCUCUAACUUCCAUAGUUAAUUUAUUUUGUAACAUGUACGGAUCUGUUGUAUUCCAAACAAUUCUUGGUAUAUUGAUUGAAUAAAGUUACAUAGGGAAAAGUUA